CUAGCCCACUUUCCCCCAAUCCCGCUCGACCCCUGCUCUCCAAUGGCGGCUGCCCCUUCCUCUCCCGCUCGACCCCUGCUCUCUCCUCCACGCCACGGCUCCUCGUCCCCUGCCCCGCAUCGGCGCGCGACGGCGUUCCUGCCGCUCCGCGCGGCGGCGGCAGCAGCGUGCGCGGCGUCCUCCUCUUCGACCCCAAGCACAUCAGCAGCGGAGGGCUAGGAGGAGGCGGUGGCGCGGCGGCGGCAGCAGCGUGCGCGGCGUCCUCCUCUUCGACCCCAAGCACAUCGGCGGCGGAGGGCUAGGAGGAGGCGGCGCGGGAGCUGCGGGGAGGCGGCGGCGGCCCUCGCCGUGCGCCGCGCCGCCGACGAGGACGCGCUGCGGCGUAGCGCGGUUGCGUUGGACGGGGACCUGCGGCGCCUCCAGGGCUCCGUCGCCGCCCUCGAACCCACCGGCCCUUCUCCUCCCAAUCGGCGUCCCUCGCGCCUCUCCUCGUCCCCGCCGCCACAUGAGCACGCACGGAGGAGGGAGGCUGCGACGCCUCGUCCUCUCCUCUUCCUCCACCCUCAGGGAGCACACGAGCCGCCAUGGAGCACGAGCAGCCGCCAAACCCUAACAGAGGGCAACGCCUAGGGAUACUACUACACAUCAACAUAUGGGGGAGGAGGAGACAGAGGCUGCGGUGGAGGAGAUGGAGCAUCGCCGUAUCGCCAUCGCUGGGAGCAGUUCUGCCUUGCACUGGACCCGACCGACUGUGAGGGGAGCGGCAUCGGCGGCGGCCGCAAACCUCACCGUCCCCUGCAGCGACUGGCGAUUUGAGAUUUGUUAUGGAAGAAGAAAAUGAAGUUCUUCAAAUUGUCCCUGAUCUCGAUGUUCUACAGGGCUAGGGUUCUUGACUAAGGAGGAAAAAAGAGGCAUAUGUUUUAGUUUUGGACCAGAACUCCACUGUAGAGAGUAUUCAUGGCAGGCAAUUUUCUUUGGCCAGUUCUUUUUUUAUUUAUUUGAAGUUUUUUUUUCAGAUUUAUGGUUAAUGCCAAUUUAAUUACCGCAAGAGUUUUGGCUUUGGGCAAUGCCAUGAUAUUCAUUCCUUAAUUAUUCUGCAAAAUACUACCUUUUGUCAGAUUUGCAUGGAUAUAUCUUUGACGGAGCCUUGGCUCGGUGAGGCUGGGCGGCUGUCCAGGCUCAGCCGAGGAAUCUCCAUGCAGUUGGGAGUGAGAGUGAUUUAAUCACCUGUUUAUGGGGGUAAAUGCUCCAAAAUUGUUGUGCUGAACUCCAGUUAUCAGGUUGUAGCAGAUCAUGGCAUGUCUAUCUGAGUGGCAAGACAUCAAGCAAAAGUAAAAGGAAGUCCAGUGGAGCUAGGACGUCCUCCUAAAUCUGCAAGAGUGUCUCUAGCUGCACCUCAUAUACUGUUUCAAAGGAUGGAUUGUCUUCAGUUUAUGCUUCUGGAUCAGAAAUUGACUCGCUCUCUGCCUCUUGGGUACAUAAAAGCAACACAACAGCUCCAGUAACGAAGUGUUUUCAGAUGGAACAUCUUCGAUAUCAGUACUCGCACGUUCACGGUGGAUCAACACAUGGUUCACAUCAGUGGCGACAAGAAUUUGCAUAUUUUUCUAGCUUCAGCCUUGCUGCCGUACAAGGGUAUUUACAGUUAGAUUUCAGCCAAGAUGGUUAUAGGAUAUCACUUCGAAACAAGAAAAGACCGGGCUUUUAGAAUCAAUCUGGAGGUCCCAAUAUGGAGAAGCGUCUCGAGAAGACGAGGAAGCAAUCCUAGGCUGAGAAGCAUGAUGUGCUAGGCGGGUGGUUGCCAUGUAUAAAUUAACCCUUUAGUAACUAUUGUAUUAUGUUGUUGUGCCUUAUAAUUUCAAGUAGCAUGUUAUUUCUUAAGUAUC